UGUGGAUGCUGCAUUUCGAUAGUGAAUUUCCUUAAUACACUAAAAUAGGAUGGAGUGGAAGAAAACGAGAGAAAAAGGAAAAUUCUUUAUGUCACAUUAUUUAAUUCAGUCUAAAAUCCACACGUCGAUACCAGGAAGCUGGGACUGAGAAAUGAUAUCAGCUGGACUGAGGAAUGAUAUCAGCUGGGACUGAGGAAUGAUAUCAGCUGGACGGAGAUAACGCUAUCUUCUGGAACAGCGGGUAGUUAUCAGAGGACUAGUGUGUGGGGGAAAAAAACCCCAACAAAACAACACUAUACAUGACUUCUUACCACCCAUUAAUGUAGUCAUAGAAUUGGCAUUUUUCUCUGUGAGUAUUUUCAUAAAAUUUCAUACAGAUAUUUCUAAUGUACUUUCAUUUUUACAGAUGAUAGAGAAUUCAGUGUAAAGUCUAGUUCACAUUAAAGUCAACCUUGAAUGAU